AAACCAACUCUCACAUCCCAACUCUCAUUAUAUCUCCCCGAUUCAUAUCACUCUCACAAUAACUCUCUUGCUCAUUCUCUCCACUCAUAUAUCCUCACACCUUCAUUCUUGCCCAAAUCCCGUCUCUCUCCAUCUCCAUCUCCGAUCUCUCUUCGGCAGACACAACAUAUCUCUCCCUCUGACGCGUUUGUGGGCAUCGGUCUUUCCAAACCAGCCAACCCUAAUGUUUCACGACUGUUGGUAAGCCCUUCGAUUCACUAUUAUUCUAUUUAGGGUUCUUACUGGAGUCGUUUUGGGUUUUGAGGUUCAUCUGAAAUUCAAUUUGGGGGUUUCGAAAAUUUCUUUUCAAUUUCGAAUUAGGUUUGCUGGGGCUCGUUCGAAUUGGGGAUUCUGAAACAGACAUAGGUUCGAUCGAAUUUAAUUUUAUUACUAAAUUCAAUUCUGAUUGCUCUAAUCGAACGAUUUUUUGUUUGUUUUAGGGUUUCAUAAUGGUGAUUAGGUCAAGGGAUAUGCUAGGUUGAUUCCAAAAUUUAACUCGUAUAUUGUUUUCUUUGAUCCAUGUCCAUGAAUAAUGUAUUCCUAUUUAUGGUGGUUUGGUCAUUUUUUCUGGAUUUCAAUUUGGUGGUUUGGUCAUUUUCAUUUGAAAUUCGAUUUGGGUUGGCUAAUUUUUAAUCGAAUUGGGUGUGGGGUUUAUUGGACUUGGGUGUGUAUGACUUGCAGAAAUUUUGAAGUUAGCAUCUCAGAAGAUGUCGAGCCAUUGCGGGUUACAGUUUCAUGUUUUUAAACAUGCAUUGAUAGUUGCAGUUGUGUUCUAAAUGCAGAAUUGGUGAAGUUGAUGAUUACCCAGGUAGUAGUAAUGUCUGUUUAAAUUAAGGGAUUGGGUGACUUUUAUUGGGGAAUUUAUAUUGAAUGAAAACCAGUUAUGUCACACCCCGGUUCUUAAGUUAUUUUACGGUUAUUUACUUUGGUGUUAUUUUGGUCUUUUACCGUGUUGAGUAACCGUUUACUACUUAAGGACCCUAAAGUUGACUUUUUCUUCCGUUUGGAAUCUGGGAAAACUUCCUUCAUGAAAGUUGUAGAGGACGUUAAACGGAGUUCGUGGACACGCGGCACGCUUAAAACGGAGUUCGUAUGAAGAAGUUAUGGUCUAAAAACGAAAAUUACUAUAUUGGUAAAAAGAGGUAAAUUCUUGUAGGCUUUAUUUUGUUGGGUGUUUUAAGUUUGGUACUGGGUCGAAGAGGGGGGUAAAAAGGACCCACGCCACUCUCUCUCUCUCUCUCUCUCCCUCUUCCUUCUCUUUUUCUCCCGAGCUCUCCCGACCCGGAAAAUUUCCGACCAUCGUUCGCCGCCGUCCGGCCGAGAUAGGAGGCGUGCUUGGUAUCAAAUCGAAGCUUGGAACAUCCUCUUCAAUUCUAGGUAGGUGGCUGGUCGUGUGCGCCGCCGUGAGGAGGAAUUACGCCGAGAAGGAGCGGCUGUGCGUGGUGGAGUUUCGCCGGAAACUCUCUUUCCGGCCACCAUAGCCGGAGCUGUUGGUCUCAACUUGAAGCUCUCCCUCCCAGCAGCUAAACCCUAAAAGGAUUCAUCCUAACUCNNNNNNNNNNNNNNNNNNNNACAUGUUUAAGCUCGAAAUUGGACUUAGUGAUAGUUAUGAAAGUUGUUUGGGAUGUUGAGAGGAACAUGUUUUAAAAUUUGGUAGCCAUCGGGGGUCGCCGGAGUUGGCCGCCCGCCGCCGCUGCCGGCGGAGCAGACGGCGGCGCUGCCGCUGUAAGGGGGCUUUUCAGGGUUUUAAAUGUGUUAUGUUAAGAGGAGUUUAUUGAAGUAUAGUUUGGAAUUUUUUGAUAAGUUUUGGUUAGGUUUGGAAUUUUUCGGAGAUUGGAGAAAAUGCCGGUUAUUUGAAUGAAAAUCCGACCGUUGGAUUUCCUUGGUAUUUAUUAUAGAAUGUUAGAAUUGAUGAAUUAAGGUUGUGGUGGAGUUUGGUGUGAAUCCGACGAGUUUAACCAUAUUAAGAGUAGAGGGUUAAACGGAGGAGAGUUAGAUAUUUUAAUUCACGUAUUUAUUUUCUGGAAUUGAAGUUUGGUUCUAAGCAUGGUUGUUGUGCCAGGAUGCGAAGGGAACCUCGCUUGAGCGGCGAUGCGGUUAUCGUCGGGCUUAGGCCUAAUUUGUGAGUGGACUUUUAUUUGAAAUAAUAUGCAUGCUAUGGUUCAUGAUUGAACAUUUCCUUUUGUUGGAGUUUUUGACGUCAAUUAAUUUUGACGCUUUUAUUUCUCUGAGAGAGUUACCGAAAAUGGGAUUUUCGGUGAAUAUAAAUAUGUAUUUAUGAGAGAGUAUGUAUAUAAAAGCUAGCUAGCCAUAUGUGUCUGUCCACCUUAAUGGCGUAGCAUAUAGCCGCAUUAUGGUGUGACGUGAGCGUUGGACGUAAGCGUAGUAGCCCUAUAUGAGUGUUUAAUUCAUAUAGGGGGUAUGGGCACAUAUUUAUACACCCGUCUGUCACCUUGAUGGCGUAGUGUAGCACCGCAUUAAGGCGUGACGUGAGCGUUGGACGCGAGCGUAGUAGCCCUAUAUAGACCCAUGAAUUUAUAUAGGGAGUAUGGACGAGUGUAAAUACAUACAUAUAUUAUAGAGUCUGAGAGGCUCGAUAUUUUAUGAGAUAAAAGUUUAUCGCUUGCGGCAUGCAUUCGAUUUUUCCUUAGAAAUUAAUUUGGGGAAACAUAAAUAUUUUAUUUAUUAUUUUAUUUUUGUCCACUCACUCUAACGUUUCGUUUUCAAAUGUUUUCCCCUGGGCUCUUCGUUUUAAAAAUGCCCAGUUUGCAGGAUUGCAUAGUUGAGGUCGGACGUAUAUGGAGAAGAGGCAUAGUCAAUAGUGUAGUUUCCGCUCAUUUUUUAUAUUUCUAGUCCAUUUCCUUUCAAAUAGAGUUGCUCUGAACUAUGGCUGUUGGCUAUGAGAUUUUUUCUUGUUUAAGUUAGAAAUUAAAUUGGGAGAUGUUGUGAUUUGGGGAGCACGAAGGCUCCAGGAGUUUAAGGUUGGAUUUAAAUUUUCAGAAGUGUUUGCAGGUAUUAUUAGGAAAGGUUGUCCAUUUUUCAAGGGAGGUUAUGCCGAUUUUUCGGUAAAUUUUUCUUGGAGGUGGUCCCCGCACGACUUACUCUGGGUUUCAGGGUGAAAUUCGGGGUGGGUUGUGUCAAGUUAUGUGUAUUCCCAUAUUAGUUCUCUGAAUGAACAAGAUUCUUGAACAAUAAGGGUCUAGUUGUAGCUAAACUCCGAAGCAGCUAAAAGAAUGGAAUUAUGGGAUUCUUUAAUUUGAUAUGAAUUUGGUGUUAAAAAUUUGACAUCUUUUUAGUUGCUCUAUAUCUUUUCUUGUUGUUGAUGUAGCUGUUGCUUUGGUUCAUUAGUGCUGAUGAAUUGAUGAUGAUGGUUGCUGCAAAGAGGCAUGGAAGAAAAAUUUGAAAAUAGAUAUUGCGCUCUUUCUUUUUCUUUUUUCCUUUGCUCUUUUGAUAAAUGCUUUUCUAUGCUCUCAUUUGAUUUUUUUUUUUUGACAACAGAACCAUUAUAUGGAAACCAAAACAUUUGUGGCUGGUUUGGUCAGUAUUGGUUUUGGGACCAUUUAUGCUGCAAGUAAAGGUCAGCCCAUUACUUACAUAUAAUGUCUAAGUUUGCAAUGUGGUAUUUUACAUUAUAUGAAAGGAAAAGGCAAAAGCUACAUUCUAUCUUAUCUUGUUUGUUUUCUUCUGCUGCGAUUAAUUAACUUAUGAAAAUCUUGCUUGUGAAUGGGCGAAAGACAAUAUCAGGAGCAAUGAUAUUGCUCCUUCGUACACCACUAGAACCUCACUUGUGGAACAUGUAAAAUACUCGUACCCUUUCUACAUUAUCAUCAGUUAAAACCUUUUGCAUGUGUGAAAUAGUAUAAUCUAGUGGAGAUUAAUGUCUUUUUUUUGGAGUUUACUUAGGAUAUUCAGAAAAAUUAUGCAGCAGACCUGCAACUUUGAAAAUUUAUAACUAAUUGUAGAAAACUUAUUUUGAAGAGAUUCCAGUUCUAAAAUGAUCCUUAACAUGUCUAAUCUAACUUUCAUGAAGACACAAAGUUUGAACAACCAUCCAGUUUGUACAGUAUUUAGAAAGAAGGUAACUGGUACAAAAUCUCAGAAAAUACUGAUCUGCAGAAUUUCCUGAUGCAGGUCCUAGACUUUGAAAAAUCAUAACUUAAUCUAGAAAAAUCCUUUUCAAGUGAUUCAAAUUCUGGAAUGAACCUUAAGAUGUCUAUUACAAUUCUUAUGAAGAAACCAACUUCAAAUUCCAAAUGAAAUUGUACUGUUUUCAGACGAAAGCUAACUGAUGCAGAAUCUCAGAACUCCAAAUAUUAAAGCUGAAAAAUAAUGAACCAAUUUUAAGAACUUGGAACCAAUUAAAGGGCAUAAACAAUUUAAUAAAGAUGUCAUAGAUUUCAGACUUUUCAGUAUAUGCAUGGUUUUCUUUUAUGGAUGAGAAGAUUGUAUAUAUGGAUUCUUUGAUAGAGUUUGCAUUCAUUGAUAUGUUAAUAUCAUUGCAUUUUCUAGAUGUAUCUCACAUCAUUGAUAUGUUAUAGUAAAUGUGAGCAAAGAUUUGUGUUACCCUUCUUUACUCUUUAGAAAUUUGAAAUGUUUAACUUCCACAAAGUAGCAUGUAUACCUGCAUAUUAUGUAAUUUUCUAAUACUAGGGAGCAAUAAUGUUGUGCAAUUCUAAGGUCAAUGAGUGUAUCUGGUAGUUAUUGCUCUACGCAAAUUUGUCAAUGUAUCUAUGAGUGUAUCCCUGCACAAAUAUGCAUUUGUCCCUGCAUAUUCUAGUAGUUAUUGGUAUGUGCAAUACUUAAAUUAUUCAGGGGAAGAAUGAUUAAUGCCUUUGUGAUCAGUGAAUAUACUUUCCUAGCAGCAUGUUAUGAUCAUGUGUUUACUGUUAUAAACUAAGAUUCAUAUUUUAUCUUAUUAGGAGAAGAUGAAGGGCAUGUCAGCAGAUGAGCUCAUGACCAUAUCAACAGGGACAGCAGACUUGUCAAUGGCAGAGAGUUUACACUUGUUUUAAUUUUGUUGAACGGUUGGAGACAGAGUGUCGGUCUGUGUGCAAGUUGGAGAUAAUUGUUCAUGUAUUGUUCUUUCUUGUGUUUCUUAGUCCAAUGAAUGGUAAGCAUUUGUCCAUACAAUUAUAACCAUGUGAUACUACUCUAGCAUUUUGAUCCUCAAUUUAGAUCAGUACUUUUUAUGAUCAUUUGGCUAUGAUCUUAGUAAGAGUUGGACUUAAUGAUUUUAUAAUUCUUUAUUCUUGUCUGCAUAUAUGCACUGUCCAAAUACUAUUAUUUCAGGAACUUGGUCUCAUUCAUUAUUUUUUUUUUUUGGUCUCUUCAGGAUUACUUAAAGCACCUCAAGUAUAGGAAGUAAUUGCAAUUUGCAAGAGAUUUUCAUG
rnacentral:lncRNA from 1 species